AGUCGAACGGCAGCACGGGGGCAACCCUGGUGGCGAGUGGCGAACGGGUGAGUAAUACAUCGGAACGUGUCCUGUAGUGGGGGAUAGCCCGGCGAAAGCCGGAUUAAUACCGCAUACGCUCUACGGAGGAAAGGGGGGGAUCUUAGGACCUCUCGCUACAGGGGCGGCCGAUGGCAGAUUAGCUAGUUGGUGGGGUAAAGGCCUACCAAGGCGACGAUCUGUAGCUGGUCUGAGAGGACGACCAGCCACACUGGGACUGAGACACGGCCCAGACUCCUACGGGAGGCAGCAGUGGGGAAUUUUGGACAAUGGGCGCAAGCCUGAUCCAGCAAUGCCGCGUGUGUGAAGAAGGCCUUCGGGUUGUAAAGCACUUUUGUCCGGAAAGAAAACUUCCUGGUUAAUACCUGGGGAGGAUGACGGUACCGGAAGAAUAAGCACCGGCUAACUACGUGCCAGCAGCCGCGGUAAUACGUAGGGUGCAAGCGUUAAUCGGAAUUACUGGGCGUAAAGCGUGCGCAGGCGGUUCGCUAAGACAGAUGUGAAAUCCCCGGGCUUAACCUGGGAACUGCAUUUGUGACUGGCGGGCUAGAGUAUGGCAGAGGGGGGUAGAAUUCCACGUGUAGCAGUGAAAUGCGUAGAGAUGUGGAGGAAUACCGAUGGCGAAGGCAGCCCCCUGGGCCAAUACUGACGCUCAUGCACGAAAGCGUG
rnacentral:rRNA from 1 species